rnacentral:rRNA from 1 species
UACAGAGGGGGCAAGCGUUGUUCGGAAUUACUGGGCGUAAAGGGCGCGUAGGCGGCCUUCUAAGUCGAACGUGAAAUCCCCGGGCUCAACCCGGGAACUGCGUCCGAUACUGGGAGGCUUGAAUCCGGGAGAGGGAUGUGGAAUUCCAGGUGUAGCGGUGAAAUGCGUAGAUAUCUGGAGGAACACCGGUGGCGAAGGCGGCAUCCUGGACCGGUAUUGACGCUGAGGCGCGAAAGCGUGGGGAGCAAACAGG